ncrna:unclassified sequences pemK RNA
ACAAUGAUACUUCAGUAGCCGAAAGGCGCUGCCUGCGGAGUACCCGGGGGAGGUGAAAUUCCUAUGG